rnacentral:rRNA from 1 species
GAUGAACGCUGGCGGCGUGCCUAAUACAUGCAAGUCGAGCGAACGGACGAGAAGCUUGCUUCUCUGAUGUUAGCGGCGGAUGGGUGAGUAACACGUGGAUAACCUACCUAUAAGACUGGGAUAACUUCGGGAAACCGGAGCUAAUACCGGAUAAUAUUUUGAACCGCAUGGUUCAAAAGUGAAAGACGGUCUUGCUGUCACUUAUAGAUGGAUCCGCGCUGCAUUAGCUAGUUGGUAAGGUAACGGCUUACCAAGGCAACGAUGCAUAGCCGACCUGAGAGGGUGAUCGGCCACACUGGAACUGAGACACGGUCCAGACUCCUACGGGAGGCAGCAGUAGGGAAUCUUCCGCAAAGGGCGAAAGCCUGACGGAGCAACGCCGCGUGAGUGAUGAAGGUCUUCGGAUCGUAAAACUCUGUUAUUAGGGAAGAACAUAUGUGUAAGUAACUGUGCACAUCUUGACGGUACCUAAUCAGAAAGCCACGGCUAACUACGUG